rnacentral:rRNA from 1 species
CAAUCCGACAAACUAAUACUGCAAGUCGAGCGGACAGAUGGGAGCUUGCUCCCUGAUGUUAGCGGCGGACGGGUGAGUAACACGUGGGUAACCUGCCUGUAAGACUGGGAUAACUCCGGGAAACCGGGGCUAAUACCGGAUGGUUGUUUGAACCGCAUGGUUCAAACAUAAAAGGUGGCUUCGGCUACCACUUACAGAUGGACCCGCGGCGCAUUAGCUAGUUGGUGAGGUAACGGCUCACCAAGGCAACGAUGCGUAGCCGACCUGAGAGGGUGAUCGGCCACACUGGGACUGAGACACGGCCCAGACUCCUACGGGAGGCAGCAGUAGGGAAUCUUCCGCAAUGGACGAAAGUCUGACGGAGCAACGCCGCGUGAGUGAUGAAGGUUUUCGGAUCGUAAAGCUCUGUUGUUAGGGAAGAACAAGUACCGUUCGAAUAGGGCGGUACCUUGACGGUACCUAACCAGAAAGCCACGGCUAACUACGUGCCAGCAGCCGCGGUAAUACGUAGGUGGCAAGCGUUGUCCGGAAUUAUUGGGCGUAAAGGGCUCGCAGGCGGUUUCUUAAGUCUGAUGUGAAAGCCCCCGGCUCAACCGGGGAGGGUCAUUGGAAACUGGGGAACUUGAGUGCAGAAUAGAAGAAUGAAAUUCCCGUGUAGCGGUGAAGAUGGCGUAAAAAAAUUGUCG